rnacentral:pre_miRNA from 14 species
CUCUAACCCCUUGUAGUGAAAGACCCCCGGAGCGGGGAGACCCUCACUCAAGUCUCGGGAUGAUGCGACCCCCCAAGAACUCACGUGAGACC